rnacentral:tRNA from 1 species
GUUGUUAGCUCAGCCGGACAGAGCAAUUGCCUUCUAAGCAAUCGGUCACUGGUUCGAAUC